GGCAGUACGUGGCAUUAGUCAUAUGUACGGGUGGAAAACCUCGACAUGUUAAAACACUUUUGUUAAACUUCAGGUCACUCGUGAGCUUCAUUGUUAGCGGAAAUCGACUUUUAAAGUAUUUGUCAAGGCCUAGAUACACAAAGAAAUAACAUCUGUAUCGUUUCAUUCUACACGUUGAAUGUUUCCAUUUCGUCAGACUGUGGCCAUUUUCCUGAUGGUUACAAAUGUGAUGCUGGUCUCUGUCGUGGUGUAUAAAACAUCACAGUUGUACACGAAACCAUACUCUGCCAUCUUCAGUAACUCGGUGAUCUGUCACAAGGCCACGUGUAAACCAGCACCUGGAAGAUAACUAUGAACGAGAUGUAAAAAAUGGCAAGUUACAUCAGCUGUUAACAUACACAUAUAUACAGACAAACACAUACACACGCAUGAACGUAUGCAUGCAUACACGCGCACUCGUGCAUACAUAUACAGACAGAGAGAGGGAAGGAGAGAGAAACAGACGUACGGGGAGAGAGCGAGACGGAAAGGGUGACAGACAGAUCGAGACACAGAGAUGGAGAGAGACCGAUACAGACAACGAAACAGAUUCAAAUGGACAGCGAGUGACACAGAGAUAGACAAAGUGAAACAGAGAGAGGCAGAGAGAGACACAGAAAGAGACAGACAGAGCAUGAGAUAGCAAAACUGAUACAACACUGUGUGUCUAUGCGUGUGUCUGUGUGUGUGUGUGUGUGUAUGUAUGUGUAUGCCUGUGCGUUUCUGUGUGCGUGUGUAUAUAUAUAUAUAUAUAUAUAUAUAUA
rnacentral:misc_RNA from 1 species